rnacentral:rRNA from 1 species
UACGUAGGGUGCGAGCGUUAAUCGGAAUUACUGGGCGUAAAGCGUGCGCAGGCGGUUUUGUAAGCCAGAUGUGAAAUCCCCGGGCUUAACCUGGGAAUGGCAUUUGGGACUGCAAGGCUGGAGUGCGGCAGAGGAGACUGGAAUUCCUGGUGUAGCAGGUGAAAUGCGUAGAUAUCAGGAGGAACACCGGUGGCGAAGGCGGGUCUCUGGGCCGUAACUGACGCUGAGGAGCGAAAGCGUGGGGAGCGAACAGG